rnacentral:rRNA from 1 species
CCUACGGGGGGCUGCAGUGGGGAAUUUUGGACAAUGGGGGCAACCCUGAUCCAGCCAUGCCGCGUGCGGGAAGAAGGCCUUCGGGUUGUAAACCGCUUUUAGUCGGGAAGAAAAGGCGUGGCCUAAUACGCUGCGUUCUUGACGGUACCGGCGGAAUAAGCACCGGCUAACUACGUGCCAGCAGCCGCGGUAAUACGUAGGGUGCGAGCGUUAAUCGGAAUUACUGGGCGUAAAGCGUGCGCAGGCGGUUCGUUAAGUCUGAUGUGAAAGCCCCGGGCUCAACCUGGGAAUGGCAUUGGAAACUGGCGGGCUUGAGUGUGGCAGAGGGGGGUGGAAUUCCGCGUGUAGCAGUGAAAUGCGUAGAGAUGCGGAGGAACACCGAUGGCGAAGGCAGCCCCCUGGGCUAACACUGACGCUCAGGCACGAAAGCGUGGGGAGCAAACAGGAUUAGAUACCCGAGUAGUC